AGACCCGAAACCCGGUGAUCUAGCCAUGGGCAGGUUGAAGGUUGGGUAACACUAACUGGAGGACCGAACCGACUAAUGUUGAAAAAUUAGCGGAUGACCUGUGGCUGGGGGUGAAAGGCCAAUCAAACCGGGAGAUAGCUGGUUCUCCCCGAAAGCUAUUUAGGUAGCGCCUCGUGAAUUCAUCUCCGGGGGUAGAGCACUGUUUCGGCUAGGGGGCCAUCCCGGCUUACCAACCCGAUGCAAACUGCGAAUACCGGAGAAUGUUAUCACGGGAGACACACGGCGGGUGCUAACGUCCGUCGUGAAGAGGGAAACAACCCAGACCGCCAGCUAAGGUCCCAAAGUCAUGGUUAAGUGGGAAACGAUGUGGGAAGGCCCAGACAGCCAGGAUGUUGGCUUAGAAGCAGCCAUCAUUUAAAGAAAGCGUAAUAGCUCACUGGUCGAGUCGGCCUGCGCGGAAGAUGUAACGGGGCUAAACCAUGCACCGAAGCUGCGGCAGCGAACGUAUCACUUAAAGCGA
rnacentral:rRNA from 2 species